rnacentral:lncRNA from 1 species
UGUAAAUUAUUUAUUUUAUACUUUGUAUAAUAUGGAUACAUGUUUUACAUUGUUAUGAAUCUAAUAUGAUAAUUUGAGUCAAAUCAGUCAUGAAUUUGACAGCUAGUGUCCAUUUGAGCACGUAUCCUAUAUGCAUACUGUGCGAUUAAGAGUAUAGCACAAUUCGUCAGUAUGUAUUACUAUUAACGAAUGAAAUCUAAAACAGAUGCCUGAUUAUUUCAGAGUUACAUCAUUUCCUUUAAAAUUGAGGAAGUUAUUAUGUAACGUUUAUGUGAUGAUGUGCUCAUGAUGUGCUAUAGCAAAAAAGAGGAUUCUUCUUUCUAGAGAUACUGAUAUAUAACACGAGACAUAUUGUUUAUUGGCUCUGAUGUUACAAGCAAAGGAUAUCCGUUAGUCUCGAUACAUCCUUUGUUU